rnacentral:misc_RNA from 1 species
AGCAGCCGCGGUAAUUCCAGCUCCAAUAGCGUAUAUUAAAGUUGUUGCAGUUAAAAAGCUCGUAGUUGAAUUUCGAGAUCAAAUUGUUGGUCGUGCCUUGGUACGCACUGGCAUUAUUGGUUUCUCCCUUCUGACGAACCAUGAUGUCAUUAAUUUGGUGUCUUGGGGAAUCAGGACUGUUACUUUGAAAAAAUUAGAGUGUUUAAAGCAGGCUCACGCUUGAAUACAUUAGCAUGGAAUAAUGAAAUAGGACGUUUGAUUCUAUUUUGUUGGUUUCUAGGAUCGACGUAAUGAUUAAUAGGGAUAGUUGGGGGCGAUUAGUAUUCAAUUGUCAGAGGUGAAAUUCUUGGAUUUAUUGAAGACUAACUACUGCGAAAGCAUUUGCCAAGGAUGUUUUCAUUAAUCAAGAACGAAAGUUAGGGGAUCGAAGACGAUCAGAUACCGUCGUAGUCUUAACCAUAAACUAUGCCGACUAGGGAUCGGAUGAUGUUAAUUUUUUAAUGACUCAUUCGGCGCCUUA